UGCAAGUCGAGCGGUAGCACAGGGGAGCUUGCUCCCUGGGUGACGAGCGGCGGACGGGUGAGUAAUGUCUGGGAAACUGCCUGAUGGAGGGGGAUAACUACUGGAAACGGUAGCUAAUACCGCAUAACGUCGCAAGACCAAAGAGGGGGACCUUCGGGCCUCUUGCCAUCAGAUGUGCCCAGAUGGGAUUAGCUAGUAGGUGGGGUAAUGGCUCACCUAGGCGACGAUCCCUAGCUGGUCUGAGAGGAUGACCAGCCACACUGGAACUGAGACACGGUCCAAACUCCUACGGGAGGCAGCAGUGGGGAAUAUUGCACAAUGGGCGCAAGCCUGAUGCAGCCAUGCCGCGUGUGUGAAGAAGGCCUUCGGGUUGUAAAGCACUUUCAGCGAGGAGGAAGGUGGUGAGCUUAAUACGUUCAUCAAUUGACGUUACUCGCAGAAGAAGCACCGGCUAACUCCGUGCCAGCAGCCGCGGUAAUACGGAGGGUGCAAGCGUUAAUCGGAAUUACUGGGCGUAAAGCGCACGCACGCGGUUUGUUAAGUCAGAUGUGAAAUCCCCGGGCUCAACCUGGGAACUGCAUUUGAAACUGGCAAGCUAGAGUCUCGUAGAGGGGGGGUAGAAUUCCAGGUGUAGCGGUGAAAUGCGUAAAGAUCUGGAGGAAUACCGGUGGCGAAGGCGGCCCCCUGGACGAUGACUGACGCUCAGGUGCGAAAGCGUGGGGAGCAACAAGGAU
rnacentral:rRNA from 1 species